AUUGAACGCUGGCGGCAGGCCUAACACAUGCAAGUCGAACGAGUGGCGGACGGGUGAGUAAUGUCUGGGAAACUGCCUGAUGGAGGGGGAUAACUACUGGAAACGGUAGCUAAUACCGCAUACCAUCAGAUGUGCCCAGAUGGGAUUAGCUGGUGGGUGGGGUAAUGGCUCACCAAGGCGACGAUCCCUAGCUGGUCUGAGAGGAUGACCAGCCACCCUGGAACUGAGACACGGUCCAGACUCCUACGGGAGGCAGCAGUGGGGAAUAUUGCACAAUGGGCGCAAGCCUGAUGCAGCCAUGCCGCGUGUAUGAAGAAGGCCUUCGGGUUGUAAAGUACUUUCAGCGGGGAGGCGUUACCCGCAGAAGAAGCACCGGCUAACUCCGUGCCAGCAGCCGCGGUAAUUC
rnacentral:rRNA from 1 species